ACUAGGCGGAAUUUUCCGCGCGAAGCGGAAUUUCUCUUUUUGCGAAAUUUUCCGCGCGGAGCGGAAUUUCUCUUUAUCUUGUGAUUUCUCGAGUGAAAAUAAUUAGAAAAGACAAAGAGAAAUUCCGCUCCGCGCGGAAAAUUCCGCCUGGU